AUGGCAGUUAAGGACAAGGAGAAAGUAGAAAGAAACCGUCUCAGGCUGAAAGUUUCAAUUGCAACGGUUAAGUGGCUCGCACUUCAGUCUUGUGCUUUUAAAGGAUAUGACGAAAGACCCGAGUCAAAUAAUAAAGGCAACUUUCUUGAAAUGGCGGAGCUUCUUGCUGAAUUCAAUCCUGAUAUUGCCAAAUGUGUGUUGGCGAAUGCUCCAUAUGGUUCUAAAUACACAUCACCAGAAAUUCAGAAGGAGAUCUUGAGUAUAUUUGCAUGUAAAAUCAGGAAUCAUAUCCGUGAGGAAAUUGGGGAUUCUAAGUUCUCUAUAUUAGUGGAUGAAACAUGUGAUGUAGCAAAGAGAGAGCAAAUGGCUCUGGUUCUUAGAUUUGCUGAUAAAGGUGGUAUUUUGCAAGAGAGGUUCUUUGACUUGAUACAUGUAGCAAACACAAGGUCUUUGACACUUAAAGACAAAUUGAGUUUUGCUUUAACCAACCAUGGUUUUGACAUUCAGAACCUUCGGGGACAAGGUUAUGACGGUGCUAGCAACAUGAGGGGUGACUUGAAUGGACUUCAAGCUCUUUUGCUCCAAGAAUGUCCAUAUGCUUAUUAUGUCCAUUGUUAUGCCCAUCGCUUGCAACUUGCUCUUGUUGAUGCAUCCAAAGAAGUGGUUUCUAUUUCUCAAUUCUUCCAAAAACUGAUCUAUAUCAUAAACACCGUUGACUCAUCUUCAAAGCGACAUGAUCAGCUCCAUCAAGCCCAACUAGUUGAACUUGAAAAUGCAAUUGCUAAUGCCAAUAUUGAGACAUGA
rnacentral:rRNA from 1 species